UCUUUAUUGUAUGGUUUUGUGGUGGAGUUGUGAUGGCUGUGUUUACGGCACGUGGUGGGCGAGCAGGUAUACAAACUCGCUUCCCUGCUGCUGUCGCUUACGAGCACCUUCGAAGUUUCGGCUGUUAGUUGUGCCCGUCAAGAUAUAGCCUAUCUCUGCACCGUUGACAACAAUUAACUGCAAGUGCCGAUUGCUGCUGGUUGGCUCAGUCCGGAAUCAGGCCUCACAAAUGCUAUGAGCCUAGCUGAAAGCAUCACUGCCAAAAUGGCACGCCACGCCCCUUCAAAGGUCGUUGGUCAGGUCGAGGUUGCCAUGCAGUGCAGCUUGCCUCUAGCUGACAAGUCUGUCGGCUGCUCGUUGAAACCAGGGAGCAAGUCUAGGAGCGUGCAGACUACGGAGGCUGUGAAACAGUUAAGCUCCUCCUCAGCAUCGAGGCCUUUAAUUUCUGCAUCAACUGCCAAAUGUGACAACUCAAAGCAAGGAUGCCUCCACCGAUGUGAGCUAUGUGACUAUGAGGCUGAUGAACUAUUUCUUCCGGAAGCACAUGCCAGCAUCCAUACUGGCGAGAAGCUCUUUCAUUGCCCUUCAUGCCCUCAGAGCUUUCCACAAAAGCAGAGACUGAAAACCCACCUGCUCACCCACACAGGCAAGACACCAUUUCAGUGAACUUCAUGCUUUCAGAGUCUUCGAUAAAGGCUCACCUGAAAGAGCACCUGCGCAUCCAUACGGGCGAGAAACCAUUUCAUUGCCUUUUAUGCCCUCAGAGCUUUUCUCAAAAGUCCAACCUGAAAACCCACCUGCUCACCCACACAGGCGAGAAGCCAUAUCAAUGCCCUUCAUGCUCUCAACGCUUCUCGCGCAAGUCUUACAUGAAAGCCCAUCUGCACACCCACACAGGUGAGAAGCCAUAUCAGUGCCCUUCAUGCUCUCAGAGCUUCUCGCGAAAGACCUCCCUGAAACAGCACUUGUACAGCCACACAGGCGAGAAGCCAUAUCAGUGCCCUUCAUGCUCUCGGGGCUUCUCACGAAAGGGCGACCUGAAAAUGCACCUCCUCACUCACACAAGCGAGAAGCCAUUUGACUGCCCUUCAUGCGGUCAGAGCUUCUCCCGAAAGGGCAACCUGAAAGUCCACCUGCGCACCCACACAGGCGAUAAGCCAUAUCAGUGCCCUUCAUGCUCUCAGAGCUUCUCACACUGGAGCACCUUCAGGAAACACAUGAGGCAAGAAGCCAUUUCAGUGCCCACUCUACCUUCAGAGGUUCUCGUUGAGGAAUGCCCUAAAGAUACACCAGUGCAUUCAUACAGGUGACCGGCCAUAAAGUUGCACCGUUUGCUCCAGGUCCUCAUCACUUGAACAAACUUAAAAGAGCACAGCACCAUGGUACUGUAGGGUAGGUCAACAAUCUCGUUGAACUAGAGUCUGAAUUACAAUAUAUACAUAUGUGUAGUAUGUUACGUUGUAGUACGUAGUGUUACAUGUAGUAUGGUCGCUUGUGCUACCCCAUCAGGUAGCACAAGUGUCUCCACAUGCUCCUGAGAUCAAGCUUUAACUCGAGCCAAACUCCGAUGUCGCCUAUUCAAAUACGUGUAAAACGCAGAAAUGCUUUUCUGAAUAACCAGUGGGUCGAUUAUAACGAAAUUUGUAACAACUGAGAGAAAAAGCUAAAUUCUGGUGAUUGCUGGAAGCAUAUUUUUGGUUGAAGGCCAGAAUGUUAUAACAGGAAUUUACAAAGAUGGUCCAGCAUGAAAAGAAAUUGGAGCGAGAAAUUUAUGAAUUUUUAGCUCUGUACCUGGAAUAGAUAUCAUAGCUCGGUAAGCUGCAUAAGCUAGAUCUUUCGAAGUGGACGAAUUUGAUGUAUGAAUUUAUAUCUUUUGUUAAUUUCUUACACUAUUUACGGGGACUUUUCAAAUGUCCUACUCACUUAUUAUUUAUUUAUUUAUUUAUUUACAAACGCUGCUAUCUCAUUUAGAGACAUAGCAGAAGUGGGUUACACAACUUAUGAACACAAGAAUGUCAACUAACAUGGUUAGGCAGUUCUUUCCAAAAUUGAUUUGUCGGCAAUAAACGCAGAGAACCAUCCAAGUUAUUCCAUAAUUCAACAGUGUGUGGAAAAAAAGAAAACUUAAAACCAUCUAUUAUUGGAAUGAAGGGAGCUAUGUUUAAUGGGUGAAUACAUCGGCUUACUCGCACAGUAGGUGUGAUCAGCAAGGUAGGUGCUUCAAUGUUGGUCGAUCCUUGUAUGAUUUUGUGCUGCAAGAUUAGAUGGUCACACGUGCAACGAAACGACAAUGGGUCCAGUGAUAAAGCGUGUGCAUGCGAUGACGGUGAAAACAUACGAUCGUAACAGCCAUAGAUAAAUCUAGCAACUUUUUUUUGAGUGGAUUCUAAUUUGGAAAUAUCCUUUAUGCGAUGAGGCGACCACACUACAGAAGCAUACUCUAAAACAGGUCUAAUUAGUGAUUUGUAGGCCGUAAGCUUGCACUCUUUAGUGCCUUGCUUUAAAGUUUGUUUUAGGCACCCUAAUUUUUGCAGCGCUUUAGAGCAGACUGUAUUGAUAUGAUUAUGCCAACUGAGGUUAGUUGUGAAAGUAAGUCCAAAGUAUUUGAACUUGUUAACUUCGUUUAUACUAUACCCUUGAGUGCUGUACGUGAAUUUUAGGGCCUGUUUCUUGUUACUAAAAGUCAUUGCCACAGUUUUGCUGAAGUUAAUGCUCAUCUGUCAUGUGUUACUCCAGUCUGAAAAUGAUGAAAAUACAUUGUUAAGCACUUCUUGAUCGCGAAGAGUACGAAUGCUGGAAUAGAUCACGCAGUCAUCUGUGUAGAGACAUAUUUUCACUUGUGUGUUUCUAGCUACUUCAAUAAUGUCAUUAACAUACAUGAUGAAUAAGAGCGGCCCGAGAACUGAGCCCUGCGGCACCCCUGACAUGACCUGAGCUAUAGAAGAGGUUUUGCAAUUAAACGUGGCGGAUUGAAAUUGGAGGUGCAAGUAAUCGGAUAUCCAGUCAAUUAGUUUAUUACCAGGACAGAUUGCAGCAAGUUUUGAAAGUAGUUUUCUGUGGCUUACCGUGUCAAAUGCUUUUGAGUAGUUGAUAAAGAUGGCAUUAAGCUGAGGGAUGUGGCUAUGUCUUGCGUAAAUUCUAAUAAUUGCGCUGUAGAAAGUCCUACUUGAAAACCGCGCUGCUGUGGGGACAGAAAGUUAUUUCCGAUAAAUACUGAAUGAUGUGCUUGAGAAGUUUGCAACAUGUGGGCAGCAACGAUAUAAGCCUGUAGCUAGUGAUUUGCUGUUUGCUGCCAGAUUUGAAGAUGGGAAUGAUGUUAGCUUGUUUCCAAACCUGGGGAACUGUUAACGUCUCAAGAGAUUUGUUAAAUCUAACUGUCAAAUACCGGGCAUUCCCUUCAGAGUAUCGCUGUAAAAAUUUGUUUGGCACUCCGUCAGCUCCAGAACUUUUUCUAGUAUCAAUUGUUAGUAAUAAGUUGUGAACACAAGCGUAAGUUAUAACGAGAGCAGGACACUCUGGUAAAGUGUUGUUGAUGCAAAAAGGGGGACCGACGCCAUCAUCCUGACAAAAUACAGACUGAAAAUAAGCGUUGAAAGUUUUGGAAAUAAUCAGAGGAUCAGACGAAGGGUGAUCGUUAAUGAUCAAUGAUGAAGUGUCAUGAGCAGCCGGAAGCACUGUUUUCCAAAACUUCGAUGAGUUUUCUUUCAAGAAUAUUGACAACAUGGUGUCGAAAUAAAAGUGUCUGGCUUCGUGCA